AAUUUCAUAUAAUGAAAAAGAGUGUUCUAUUUGUGGAGAAACAGAUAGAAAAUUCGUGACUUUAAUUCCUUGUUUACAUAAAGUUUGUAAUCUUUGCGCAAACAAUUUAAUGUUAAAUGAAAUUUUAUCUUGUCCAUUCUGCAAAUUUGAACUGCUUCAAUAUCAAAAUAUGGACUUUAUAAAAAGAUGUAUAUGUAGAAAAGAGUUACAAGAAGUAACCGUGCACCCUUGUAAACAUAAAGUUGGAGUUAAUUGUGCUGAGAAAAGUUGGGAAAAAGCAUUUAUCGCACCCAAAUGCCCAGAAUGUGACGAAUACAUUAAAUAUUUUGAUAU